CCCGGAAAUGGCUCUCAAGAGGGGAGAAAUUUUUACCCUGGGAACAUGAGGCCUGCCAUGCCACACAGGACCACUUGAAGAAGCACCAGACUGUCUGCAAAGCAGUGGUUCACGGGUGGAACAUGCUUCCAGAAGGAGCUGCUGCAAUAAGCUUGGCCAUUACCGCCAGGACUGAGUUCAUGAGGAGAUAUAAUAAUUUCAUGGCGCCUACUUCCCAGCGCUGCAGGGAGGCUCAGGUGAAAUGAUGCCUCAGGAAGUUCUUCCUGAUCAAAGGACAACACAAUGCACCUUGUGAACAGAACUGAGCUCCAGAGAUGGAAGGGCACCUGUUCGUGUCCACUCAGCAAGGAAGGGGCAGAGAGGAAGGGUCUCCACCUCAGACCCCAGAGCUGUUGCUCCAGCCACUCUCUCUUUGUCGGACUAGAUCCCCUAAGAAGCAAGUGCCAAGAUGGGAUUGUUAAAUAUGCAAAAAUAUUUUUGGAGAAACACCUGUGAGAGGAGCCAGGCAGGCUGGGACAACCGCCUGAACACGAUGCAGUCUGCCCCAGCGAAGGAGAGCGUGAAGGAAGGUAUGCAGAAGCUUCCUGGACAAAUCAGCUGUGUAGCCUCAAGGAGCUUCCACGAGGCCACUGGAGUUCACUUUCUUCUUCCUGGGAGAAUCUGACCUACACUCAUCCACUUUCCUCCAACAGGUAUAUCAAUGGAUUCGAAGCUAUUCGGGUUCCUGUAGCUUCUGUCUCUCUCUCACUUCCGAACCCUCAAAGGGGUGUGAGGCCAGGGGAGUCUCCUGCAGGUGCAAUCUCCCUGCAGACUCUUCUAUAAGCCUGGUUAUGGCAGUAAAGUGAGGCUGAAUUCUCCCAUCAGCAGGGAAGCAAGGUCUGUCUAACUUCCGAGUGUAUUUUCAAGCUUAAGUUCCACACUUAAGCUCCUUGAGUCCCUGCAUAAGAAUAAGCUUUGGGGGGAGUUCCUUUGUGGUGCAUCCGGUUAAAGAUCUGGCAUCAUCACUACAGAGGCUCGGCCGCUGCUGUGGCACAGGUUCAAUCCCUAGCCUGGGAACUUCCACUUGCCAGGGGUGCAGCCAAAGAAAAAAAGAUUUGUGUGUAAUAUGAGAUCAACAAUGUAAAA